rnacentral:rRNA from 1 species
GUAAGGAAUAUUGGUCAAUGGACGCAAGUCUGAACCAGCCAUGCCGCGUGAAGGAUGAAGGUCCUCUGGAUUGUAAACUUCUUUUAUUAGGGACGAAACCCCCGGUUUUCACCGGGGUUGACGGUACCUAAGGAAUAAGCACCGGCUAACUCCGUGCCAGCAGCCGCGGUAAUACGGAGGGUGCAAGCGUUAUCCGGAUUUACUGGGUUUAAAGGGUGCGUAGGCGGGUCUUUAAGUCAGUGGUGAAAACCCCGAGCUUAACUCGGGAACUGCCAUUGAUACUAUUGAUCUUGAAUUCGGUUGAGGUGAGCGGAAUGUGUCGUGUAGCGGUGAAAUGCUUAGAUAUGACACAGAACACCAAUUGCGAAGGCAGCUCGCUAAGCCGAUAUUGACGCUGAGGCACGAAAGCGUGGGGAUCAAACAGGAUUAGAUACCCGAGUAGUCC